GCAGCCACCUUUUAAAAAGCGUCAAAGCUUAACCUAAUUCCUCUAAAAUACCAUUAACCUUAAUGAACCCCUAAUCUAUAAUGAAUGACCCCAUAUAAAUAUGGAAGACACCAUGCUAGGAUAAGUAACAAGAAUUAAUAAUUCUCCAAAAUGCAAACAUACACCAGCAUGGAUAAACCAUUGGUAAUUACCGAAUCUGAACUUACUGCAACAACACUUACAAGAAAACCAUGCAGUAUUUGCUCGUUAACCUAACACUAGUGCAUUUCAGGAAAGAUUUAAAAAAAGAGAAGGAAUUCGGCAAAUGAAAGCCCCGCCUGUUUACCAAAAACAUCGCCUCUUGAUUUAUGAUAAGAGGUCCAGCCUGCCCAGUGAAUUUUUAACGGCCGCGGUAUCCUAACCGCGCGAAGGUAGCAUAAUCACUUGUUCUUUAAAUGGGGACUCGUAUCAACGGCAUCACGAGGGUUUUACUGUCUCCUCUUUUUGAUCAGUGAAAUUGAUCUUCCCGUGAAGAAGCGGGAAUACUCAUAUAAGACGAGAAGACCCCAUGGAGCUUAAAACCAAAUAGUAACUUAACCACAUAUUUCCUUAUAACUUUAAGCCUAUACUAUGAGGUUUUUGGUUGGGGUGACCGCGGAGUAAAACAUAUCCUCCACGACGGAAAGACUACAAUCUUUAUUUAAGAACCACAGUUCUAAAAAUUAGCACACUAACGUUUACUGACCCGAUAAUCGAUCAACGGAACAAGUUACCCUGGGGAUAACAGCGCAAUCUACUUCAAGAGCCCAUAUCGACGAGUAGGCUUACGACCUCGAUGUUGGAUCAGGGUAUCCCAGUGGUGCAGCCAUUACUGAAGGUUCGUUUGUUCAACGAUUAAAACCCUACGUGAUCU
rnacentral:rRNA from 1 species